CCUACGGGUGGCAGCAGUGAGGAAUAUUGGUCAAUGGGCGCAACCCUGAACCAGCCAAGUAGCGUGAAGGAUGACUGCCCUAUGGGUUGUAAACUUCUUUUAUACAGGAAUAAACUGAGGCACGUGUGCCUUAUUGCAUGUACCUUAUGAAUAAGGACCGGCUAAUUCCGUGCCAGCAGCCGCGGUAAUACGGAGGGUCCGAGCGUUAUCCGGAUUUAGUGGGUUUAAAGGGAGCGUAGAUGGGGUGUUAAGUGUGUUGUGAAAGUCCGCGGCUCAACCGUAAAAUUGCAGUGGAUACUGGCAGCCUUGAGUACAGAUGAGGUGGGCGGAAUUCGUGGUGUAGCGGUGAAAUGCUUGGAUAUAACGAAGAACUCCGAUUGCGAAGGCAGCUUACGGAAGUGCUACUGACACUGAGGCUCGAAAGUGUGGGUAUCAAACAGGAUUAGAUACCCUAGUAGUC
rnacentral:rRNA from 1 species